CGCCGGAAGACCAAGGGUUCCUGUCCAACGUUAAUCGGGGCAGGGUGAGUCGACCCCUAAGGCGAGGCCGAAAGGCGUAGUCGAUGGGAAACAGGUUAAUAUUCCUGUACUUGGUGUUACUGCGAAGGGGGGACGGAGAAGGCUAUGUCGGCCGGGCGACGGUUGUCCCGGUUUAAGCGUGUAGGCUGACUUUCCAGGCAAAUCCGGAAGGUUAAGGCUGAGGCGUGAUGACGAGGCACCACGGUGCUGAAGUGACAAAUGCCCUGCUUCCAGGAAAAGCCUCUAAGCAUCAGGUAACAUCAAAUCGUACCCCAAACCGACACAGGUGGUCAGGUAGAGAAUACCAAGGCGCUUGAGAGAACUCGGGUGAAGGAACUAGGCAAAAUGGUGCCGUAACUUCGGGAGAAGGC
rnacentral:rRNA from 1 species